CUUAUAACAUAGUAGUAAUAAAAAAAUUGUAAUCGAACGUUAUUUUUAUAAAUUGCAAAUUAUUGACUUGUAUAUGCGCAAAAUAUAUUUCGUUAAGAUGUAUUCGAUUAAGCGAUACGUUGCAAUAAAUAAUAAUUGUUCAUUAUUAGAAGAUGGAAUGAUAGGUAAAGUUACGUUAAAAAAUCUCUCUCUUUCUUUCUUUUUAUAAUUGGAUUAUAAUUAGCAUAUACAGUUUCCUGUAAUAAUUCCAAUGAUAUUUAAAAUAAAGUAAGACUUUAAUUGUCAUUUAAGAGGACUUUCGCUCACACAAACAUAAUUAUGAAUGUGUAUGAAUAAGUAACCUCUUUUCUCCAUGACUUAGAAUUUAAACAAGAUAGAAACUUUAAGGAACGUAUAAUGAGUAUUACGUUUUAAUUCACGCAAUAUUUUGAUUAAUCCAAUUAAUUUAUUUGUACUUUCAACAACAAUUACAUACAUUUUAUUACAAAGAUGAUAAAAUAGUCUUUAGAAACUUGUAAACCUUUUCUUGCGAGCGUCGUGCAAUCUCGUAGGAAACAGCAAAGAGAUUACCCACCGUGAGAAUGUAAAGGUACCAUUCGGUACCACUCUCUGCUCUGACGACGUCAGCAAACAAGCACUCGUCUCUUUUUAAAGCGAACCAAGAGACACGAAAUAAAAAACAAUGCGUGCUUUGAACAUUCCCGGUGAAUCUGAUUCCCUUUUUCCUUUUUUCGCACGUACGUACGUAAGUAAAUGCAUAUAUGUGCGAUACUUUCAAUUAGAUAUAUCGCGAAAAAAUGGAGGAUAAGAAUGGAGAACAAAAAUGGAGAACAAAAAAGAAGAAGAAGAAGAAGAAGAAAAAAUAACAAACACAACAACAACAAAAUGGAAUAAAUUAUUAUUUCUAAACUAUUGAUGACAAUUACCAAUCUAUCCAUCCAGAAUGUUACUAUGACGUAUAAUAUUUCUACACGAGGCCGCAUAACGGAAUUUGGAUCCUUGACAUUUUUGAAUGAAGCGCUUCUACGAUAUAUCACACGUACGAGAUUCCAAUGAUUUGUAAUAUCAAAAAUAUAUUAAAAAAAAAAAAAUAGACGAGGAGAGAUCUACGGAUUUUCAUUUUCACGAUUAAAUUUUUUACGUAUUCAUUUGUGCUCACACACUUGGUUCGGAUACGCAAGAAAAAAAAUACAACUUUUCAGAUACGCAAAAUGCGCAAAAUAACAAUAUGUAAUUUAGACUGAAGAUACACAAAACUUACACAAUCCAGACGUAACUCCAUGUGCGAGAUGACAAAGAGAAGAAAUGCAACUCGGAUAUAACCCAGAUAUCGAAGUUGAGGCUAUUAUUCGGAUGGUCGAGUAAGAAGAAGAAGAAGAAGAAGAAGAAGAAGAAGAAGAAGAAGAAGAAGAAGAAGAAGAAGAAGAAGAAGCAGGUAUAUAAAUAGGAACAGGUACCCUACACCUGUGAACCGUAGGGAAAGCCUACCUUAAUUCAACCUAUUUUAUUACCAUACUUUUUCUCACUGUAUUUUUCAGUGUCCAUAUUAGUAACGCUUGUAAUGAAGAAGAAGAAGAAGAAGAAGAAGAAGAAGAAGAAGAAGAGAAAGAAUGAAAAAACAAAAAAAAACGCAGAUGUAUGCAAAGUUCUCACUAUAGUCGAUUUGCAGGUUACAAGAUAAUUAGGGAAGAGAAAAGGUGCUGAUGACAUUUGUGUAACAGGGAAGAGAUAACGUUUGGAAUGUGGUUGUUGCAAAUGAUAAAAAAGAGAGAGAGAGAGAUAAAAUGAAAAUAAUUCGAAUAUA
rnacentral:lncRNA from 1 species